AUCGAGCUGACGAGUCCUAAAUAGGACGAAACGCGUGUCCUGGAU
rnacentral:hammerhead_ribozyme from 1 species